UAGGGAAUCUUCCGCAAUGGACGAAGGUCUGACGGAGCAACGCCGCGUGAGUGAAGAAGGUUUUCGGAUCGUAAAACUCUGUUGUAAGGGAAGAACAAGUACGUUAGUAACUGAACGUACCUUGACGGUACCUUACCAGAAAGCCACGGCUAACUACGUGCCAGCAGCCGCGGUAAUACGCAGGUGGCAAGCGUUAUCCGGAAUUAUUGGGCGUAAAGCGCGCGUAGGCGGUCUCUUAAGUCUGAUGUGAAAGCCCCCGGCUCAACCGGGGAGGGUCAAUGGAAACUGGGAGACUUGAGUGCAGAAGAGGAGAGUGGAAUUCCAUGUGUAGCGGUGAAAUGCGCAGAGAUAUGGAGGAACACCAGUGGCGAAGGCGGCUCUCUGGUCUGUAACUGCCGCUGAGGUGCGAAAGCGUGGGGAUCAAACAGG
rnacentral:rRNA from 1 species